rnacentral:rRNA from 1 species
GUUUGAUCCUGGCUCAGAAUCAACGCUGGCGGCGUGCCUAACACAUGCAAGUCGCACGAGAAAGGGUAGCAAUACCUGAGUACAGUGGCGCACGGGUGAGUAACACGUGAAUAAUCUACCUCCGAGUGGGGAAUAACUGAGAGAAAUCUUAGCUAAUACCGCAUAAUACCCACGGGUCAAAGCAGCAAUGCGCUUGGAGAGGAGUUCGCGGCCGAUUAGUUAGUUGGCGGGGUAAUGGCCCACCAAGACGAUGAUCGGUAUCCGGCCUGAGAGGGCGCACGGACACACUGGAACUGAAACACGGUCCAGACUCCUACGGGAGGCAGCAGUGGGGAAUUUUGCGCAAUGGGGGAAACCCUGACGCAGCAACGCCGCGUGGAGGAUGAAGCCCCUUGGGGUGUAAA